CAGAAAGUCCCCAUUCCACAACUGGUAGAGCACUGGCCAAAGUGAGAGGAAAGCCCAAGAGGCAAACUCAAGGAGGGUUUCAGCACCUGAGAUAUGAGAACAUCGCUAAUGCCAGCCAGGCUCCAAAGACUGCACGCUCUUCAUCAAAAAGCCUUUACAUCCUGAAGCAGGAAGAGGUGUCAGCUGGGGCCAUAACAAACACCAGUGUUGAAGAAAUAUGUGGUGAAACAAAGCAAGUGGAGAGAAAAGAAAACCACCACAUGCAUAGAAAAUACAAGGAAAGUGUAAAAAAGAACUGGAUGGACUUGCUUAGAAAACAGACAUCCAAACCACUGUUGAAAAGGCAAUGACCUACCAUGGCCACUGCAUAUAAAAAAUAAUCUUCAUUUUCAAUACAGGAAAUUUAAGUAAAAUAUAAAGAAAAUCAUUCUUAUAGGAGCAAUGAAUGACUAAGACAGGUCACUGGAUCUCUCCUUUAAACACCUGUUUGGGAUGCACUGGGCUUAGGAGCACAGCCCUUGCACUGACCUUCUCUUACAGGGUCCUCCACACAAGCAGACUUAAAUAUAGGUCUUCAGGCAUGUGCAGGAUGAAAUGUUUCACUUGUACUGCCUGAAUAUUGGAAGCUCAAACCAUUCUCACCUUGCCAUUGGAAGGUAAAGGAGAAGCUCCAGACUGACAUCACAGAGUACAUGUCCUACAACCAGAAGUCUGUUACACACCAGAAGGCUUUGCUGCCACUCAGCAGGACUCAGACAGACUGAGAGUUAGGUAGAGAGAAAGCUGAUGAGGUUCAGGAAGAGCAAACAUAGGAUCCUGCACCUGGGAAGGAAUAAAUGCAUGCACCAUUUCAGAUUAGGGGCUGACCUGCUGGAAAGGAGCUCUGCAGAUCGGGACCUGGAUGUCCUGGAGGUAACAGAUUGGCCAUGAGCCAGCAGUAUGCUCUUGUGCCCUCGUGGCUUGGUAUCAUGGAGUGCAUUAAAAGGAGUGCAGCCAGCAGGUCAAGAGAGGAGAUCCUCCUCCUCUACUCUGCCCUGGUGAGGCCACAUCUGGAGUAUGUACCCAGGUCUGGGCACCCAGCUCAAGAAAGACAGGGAGAGAGUCUGGAACAUCUUCUUUCUGAGGGAAGGCUGAGAGACCUGGGGCUGUUCAGGGUGGAGAAGAGAAGGUUGAGAAGAGAUCUCAUCACUAUUUAAAAAUAUCUAAAGUGGGGGAGUGAAGUGAAUAGACCAAGCUCUUUUCAGUAGCUCCCAGCAACAGGACAGGGGACAGAAGGCACAAACUGGAACACAAACCUCUUUAUUGUGAAGGUGACAGAGUAUGGGAACGAGCUGCCCUGAGAGGUUGUGGAGCAUCCUUCUCUGGAGACAUGCAAUACCGUCCUGGAUGUUUUUCUGUGCAAUGUACUCCAGGGAACUUGCUUUAGCAAGGUUUGAACUAGAUUAUCUCCAGAAGUCCCUUCCAACCUCUGCCAUUCUGAUGUUCUGUGAAUCGCCAACAUGACAGAGGAAGAGUCUGACCACAGGCUGCAUCAGACAGAGGGCAUCAACAGGAUCUUCCUCGUACAUCUGUGCUAUAACUCCACUGCUAUGGACACGCUGACUCAUCUCUUGCUGAUCUUUUUAGCCAUGUAUUUCUCUAACUCCAUGAAUUUGCAACAUUCCAGGUGGGCCAGAGAGCAAACAGACCUUUUAAGAACCUCCUCCAUCAUCAGUGAGACAUAGUGGAGGAAUUACACAGUUUUUGCCUCAGUCUUUACCUACAAGUCCCCUGCCAUAUUGCCCGAGUCACAGAAUCCAAAGGCAGGGACUGGGAAAAUGAACUGCCCACUGUAAAAAAAGACAAGCUGUGAGACCAUCUAAGGCAUACAUGUCCAACCCACUGGUUUCAUGUUUUUGUUACUUUUUUUUUCUACGUUUUAAUUUUUUUAAGAUGUUGUGUUACUUAUAUACAUUAACUGAACCAUAUAUUUUAUAUGCAGACCAGAAAAUCCCUCUUCAAUUAACACAACCAGGCAAGACAAAAAGAACCCAUAAGAAGCCCAAAUGUGCACAAGUCCGUGGGAACUCUUGAUGAGAUGCAUCUGAGAGUCCUGAGGGAAUUAGCAGAUUAAGUUACCAAGCAACUAUCCAUAUAGUUGAGUGAAGAUCCCACUGACUGGAAAAAGGGUAAUAUUAACACUCAUUAUUAAAAACAGAAAAAGGAAGAAAUGAUAGGUCACUCAGUCUCAUGUCUGCUCCUGGCAAGAUCAUGGAACAGAACCUCCAAGAAACUAUGCUAAAGCACACAGAAAACAGAGAGUGGACAGACAACAAAGCUUCACUAAGGAUAAAUUCUGCUUGAGAAGUUUGGUCGUCUUUUGAGACAUGGUGACAGCAUUGGUAGAUUGGGGAAGAAUCACCUACCUUGACUUAGGAAAAGCAUUUGACAGUGUCCUGCAAAACACCCUUGCCUUCAAAUUGGAGAGACAUUGAUUUGAAAGAUGGAACACUUGGUAGAUAAAGAACUGGUUGAAAGGUUGCACUCAAUGAGUUGCAGCAACAGCUAAGGGUGGAGACUAGUGAAGAGGGGACAGUACAGGCACUGGCAUUAUUUAAUGUCUCUGUUAGUGACGUGGACAGUGGAAUUGAAUGCAGCACCAAGUGUAGAGGGACGUGAACAGGCAUAAGAGAUGGGCCUGUGCAAACCUCAUGAAGUUCAACCAUGCCAAGUGCAAGGUCCUGCGCUCAGAUCAGAGUAAUCUCAAGCAAGAAUACGAACCAGGCAAUUAGUGGAUUGAGAGCAGUCCUGUAGAGAAAAACCUAGGGGUAUCAGUGGAUGGAUAGCUGAAUAUUAGCUGUUAGUAUAUCCUUACAAUCCAGAAACCCAGCUGUACUCUGGGAUGCAUCAAAAGAAUUGUGACCAGUUGAGGGAGGUGACUGUCCCCUCUCCAUGUGAAUUCUCAUGGGACAUCACUCUAUAAGGCUCCAUCUGGAGUACUGUAUCCAAGCCUGGAGCCCAUCAGCACAGGAGCUGUUGGAGCAGGACCAGAGGAGGGCAAUGUGGAUAAUUAAAGGGCUGGAGCACCUCUCCUGUGAAGAGAGGCUGAGAAAGUUGGGGCUGUUCAGCCUAGAGAAGAGAAAGACCUGGGGAAACAUUAUAGCAGUCUUCCAUCACUUAAAGGAGGUCUACAUGAAAGCUGGAGAGGGGCUAUCAGGGAAUGCAGUGAUUAGAAAAGAGAGAACAGUUUAAAAUAAAACAAAACAAACAAAAAGAUUUAGCUUAGAUAGAAAGCCUCCUCAUUGUGAGGGUAGUGAGGUUCUGGAACAGGUUAUCUAGAGAAGUUGCGUAUAUCUUAUUUUUAGACAUGUUCUAGAUGGGGCUUUGGGCAGAUGGACUGAAACUUGAUGGUUUUUGAAGUCCCUUCCAACUGAAACCGUUCUAUGAUUUCAUGCUCAGUUCAAGGAGGCUUCCAGUUCUGAAUUAAAAAUGUAAAAUGUGAAUAGACUUACUGCUAUGGUUGCCCCUUUACCAGCUCUGACCUCAGAGUAACUACUGUCCUAGAAUAUAGCAAAAUAACAGCACAGAAACUUGUAAAAAAGCAUAAUGCUGAGUAUUGGUAAAGGAAAGUAUGAAAGAUUGUGAACACUUUUGAGAAGCCAUAGAAAACGUAACAACUUAUAUUGCUCCUUCAGAGAAAAUGUAAGUUACUCAGGUAUUACAACCCUUCAGUAAUGGUCAGAAAUAUCCAGACUGGGAAGUUCAGUUCUCCAUCGGAUCUGUUUUGCACACAGAAGGGUGACAUAAAGUUAUUCUUUAAAAGCUUUUGUACCUAAAUAGCUAAGAACUUGGGAAGAGCUGACACCUUUCAGAACAAGUCUGAACCUUUCAGUUGCGUUACACUUCAAAAGAGUUUCCAAUUCUCUGUGAACUGCACUUCUUUUGUUCACUCAGAGAGGAUGACAGAGCUUUUGUAAGUACUACAGGAUGUUAAAACUUGUUUCGAUUCAACCUCCUUUAAGCACAGCCAUUAACGCAGAUAAAAACUGCUCCUUUCUCCAUUCAAGACAUAACACUAAUUAUCAGCUACUGUAUCCAAAGGUAGGUAACAACCACAACCAAUUUUAACUUCAGUGUGCACCAGACAAAACACUUCCUCUUUACUGCUGUUACAACCUAGUUCCAGUUUACGAUCACCCAUACUUCAAAGAACAGUGCAACGUCUCUCCACGAACAUACCGGUUUAACUAUAGACAAACAUUCUCAUCUUAACUUUGUAUAUUCAAACCAGUUUUACCAGGCCAAAUGCUGCUCUGAGUUAGGAGGUAUUUGCUUCAAGGUGAAUACAAAUACUGAUAGUGGUAUGAGAUAGGA